rnacentral:misc_RNA from 1 species
AACCAUAGAAACCUGCGGAGUACCUGCGGAAGGAUCAUUACAGAGUUCAUGCCCUCACGGGUAGAUCUCCCACCCUUGAAUACUAUACCUUUGUUGCUUUGGCGGGCCGCUUUGGCUACUGGCUCUGGCUAGUAAGUGCCCGCCAAAGAACCCCAAAACUCUGAAUAUUAGUGUCGUCUGAGUACUAUAUAAUAGUUAAAACUUUUAACAACGGAUCU